ACUGGAGGGAGGCCAGCAUAGGGCUGUGGGGUGGCGCUGCCCAGGAAAGCUGCCCCUUCGAGAUGGAGGCUAAGACCCUACCACGGAGCACAGGCCCUGUGUGGGUGGACUAGAGCCCACCUAACCUCCCCUCCCUGCUCCAGGACUCCAGCACCCUGCCAGGCCACUGGCAAACACUGUGACUCGAGAACCCUGGGGGCCAGCCAGCUGGCCUGGCUGCGCUGGGCUUGCCCUCCCCUGCUUGCAGAGAAAAGGGACAGGCGGCAGACCGUGUGCCACAGUCCAUUGGGCUGAGGCCCAAGUGCAGGACACCUGUGAAUCCAUUGCUGAGUCAUUUGCAUUCGCUGCCUCCCCUCCCCACACCCCAGACGUUCCUUGCUGCUGUUUGUAAAGGGGCAGUGGGUGGGAGUGCUUGGGAAUAAGCUCUGGAUGGCCAGGAUCUUCGGGGGUGGGGAUGGAUGUGAGCGGAGAGAAGUAAUGAGGCUCCUGGCUGGGACUGAAAAGGUGAUUGGGGUCAGACUGUGAGCCGUCCUAAAUCCGCGGCAUGCACUUGUCGCCAUGUGGAAGUGGAGAGUCCCGGGAUGGUCGCGAGCAGAGGAAGGGUCAUUUCCAGUAGAGUCUCCAAUGAGCCUCCCUGGAAGCUGGCUGUGAUCAUUUCUCUUGCAAAGUCCGGCAGAAAGGACUGGAUGCGUGCUGGGCCCUUUGACUGUGCUCGGAUCAGGGGUGGAAUCUCUGGGGCCAGUCGUAGUCUCCGAGGGCUUGGAGAGGCUCCCAGCUUGGGCUGCUGGCGCGGGAGAGACCCUGCGGCGACCUCGGGCCCUACGUCGCCUGCAACGCGGAGCGCGACCGCCAGAUGCUGCUGUGGCGCCCCGCGCGCAGCCCAGCGCUCAGCCCGCCUCUGGAAGGCGCCUGCAGCGGGUCGGAACCGACCACAGAGGCCAUGGGGGAGCCCGCGGCGGGGGGCGGGGCUGAGGCCUACAAUACUGGCGGCCUCAGGCGCGUUCUCCCCUCAGUCGGCUACCUGAAGUGGUUCGGUCCGGCCGUGCUGCGCUCGCCGGUUCCGGGGCCGGCGGGCGCGGGCAGCAGCGGACCGCGCACCGGCAAGCACCGGUGUCUCGGGCUCCGUCGCGAUGCUGGGGCUGCUCGUGCCGUUGCUGGGCCUAGCGCUCGCCUACUUCGCGCUGCUGGACGGGUGGUACCUGGUGCGUCUACCGUGCGCUGUCCUGUAUGCUCGCCUGCUGCAGCCGCGCGUCCGCGACCUGCUGGCAGAGCAGCGCUAUGCGGGCCGCGUUCUACCCUCGGACUUGGACCUGCUACUGCACAUGAACAACGCGCGCUACUUGCGGGAGGCUGAUGUGGCGCGUACUGUGCACCUAGUCCGCUGCGGCGUGCUCGAGGCGCUGCGCGCGCUCGGGGGGCGCACAGUGCUGGCUGCUUCGUGUGCGCGCUACCGCCGCUCCCUGCGCUUGCUGGAGCCCUUCGAGGUGCGCACCCGCCUGCUGGGGUGGGAUGACCGCGCCUUCUACCUGGAGGCGCGCUUCAUCAGCCUGCGUGAUGGCUUCGUGUGCGCCCUGCUGCGCUCCCGCCAGCACGUGCUGGGCACCUCCCCGGAACGUAUUGUACUGCACCUGUGCAAACGCAAGGUGGAGCCUCCGGAGCUGCCGAAAGACCUGCAGCACUGGAUCGCCUACAAUGAGGCCAGCAGCCAGCAGCUCCGGGCAGAGAGUGGGCUCGGCGACGCUGUGAAGCACCAGUGACCUCCACCCCACCCCCAGCCUGUGCCUGGGCCAGGUGCCUGCUCAUCCCUGCCCACCAGGGGGCAGAAAGUGCAGCCUCGUCCAGGAAGCCCGCUGCCGCUAGAGCCCGGAGCACUGCGGCGCCUGCCUCCAUGCCUGCCUCCCCGCUGCCUGCCGCACAGCCGCCACUGGGGAGCCUCACUCUCCGUUUCAUGUGCAGAAAGCCCACGAUUAAAGGGCCCGAACCGUGAGCGUACGGGGGUGUCCUCAUUCUGAAGCCCUGACCCCACAGUGACUCGGCGGACACUCACUGGGGUGUGUUCUGCUGUGGGGUGCUCGCUGUCCAGGCUUGGGGGCUCCUGUGAACCCAGGGGCCACUGGCAAGGCAGGGCUUGUCCCCAUUGCCCGGAAUGCUGGACUAAAGCCAGGAAGGUGUUGCCCCAGCCCCCCUCCAGCUGCUGGCCUUCGUGUCCCCAGCUCCAGGGCCUUGCAGUCCCAUCUGGGGACACCUGGGCCAGGUUUCCAGUGUGUUCCCAGGGUCAGGUCCUUGGGUCCCAGGGGGCUUGGGAGGUCAUCCCCCAGCUCCUGGUGGGGGUGGAGGACCUGAUGAGUAGGAGGGCUGCUCCGCAGGCCCCUGGCAGAGGACCGGGAAGUGGGACCCGCAGGACAUGAAGCAGGCCCCCUGCCACCCCGAGCCCCAGCAACUCCUGGCGGCACCAGCCCUGCACCAUGGCCCUCGGGCACAGCCCCAGCCUGCCCCCAGGCCCCUCCGUGCUUCCCCACCCCUCCCACUCUCCCCUCCCCCUGCCGGGUGGACCCCACACUUCUCGGCCCCCUGGUCCCGCGGCCGUCCCCCGCCUCUCACCAAGAUCACUGCAGGAAGCCAGCAGCAGCACCAGCAGCACGAGCCGUGUGCCCCACAUGGUCCCGUCCCUGCACCACCACUCCGUGCCCAUCCUUGGCCUGCCCGACGGGUAGUGGACACCCAGCACAGCGACCAGACUCUCAGCCAAGCGGAUUAUCGCGGUCUGGUUUCCCGUGGGUGGCAGGGCUCUGGAGAGCCUCCCCCACCCCCGCCCACUGGGCCCCUCCCGCCUCCACCUGGACGUCCCACUUCUCUCUGGGACUUCUCCACCCCCUUCCCAUUCCUCCCCUCCCUGCCCCUCUCGUGACCCCCCUCUUAGCGUCUGGGAGUGCUCGUUCCCUCAGACACUUCCCCUAGGGCCCUUCACCUUCCUCCCCACACCCUACACAGCCAGUGCCUGGAAGCCCAGCCCCGGCUGCCUGGGAGAGUGGCAGGGGUGGGGGGCUUUUCCACCCCAACUCCUUCCUUGGGUCCCCACUUCUACUUCCAGGGCAGAUCCCUGGUCCCAUGGCUCUGGGUCCAAGUUCCCCCAGGGGCCAGCCCACCGCCCCCUCUGGUGGUUGAAGGGGCAGUUUCCAGUGAGGGGGCAGGUGGCUGCCUGAGUGACCGGCACUCAGAGGCUUAAGGAGACAAAGGAAAAGCGCUGGGUCAAUAGAAGGCCCAGGAGGGGUGGGGAGGCACCAGGGGCCACUCGGGGACGCUAAUCCUGUCAGCCUUGAUCUCUGAUGGGGCCGCCCCUCACACAGGGCUCGGCCGGCCGCUGCAGGUGCAGAAGUUGCUGGGGAGGCCUCUGGCCUCCAACAGGAGAGAGUGAAUCUGAGUCCAGAGUCAGGUGUGGUUCCAGCCACUGCUUCUCCACCCCCCUAGGGGGCCUGCACCACAUUGUCCCCAAACUGUGUCUGCCUGGGACCCUGUCCCACCCGGCUUUGAGCCCCACAGACGCUGGAGCAAGCCCAGGGGUGGGGUUUCGAGUGCAGCCUGGGGCCCAAGCGGAGUGGUCAAGGCCAUGGUCUCCCUGGGCUAGGCCCACUCACCCAGGGCACUCAGAGACGGGGCCCCACGGCACCCUGUGAAGCUGCAGAACCCUGUCUCUCCAGGGACCCCCCAGGGCUUCCCUGGGGCUCAGGGAUCAGCUUAUUUGAGAUCCGCUCUUCACCCAAGACUGGGAGGGCCCGAACCUCGUGGGCACUGGUGGGGCACCUAGGCUCUCCCGCUCCACAGCCUGGGGGUCCUGGAGACCCCCGCACCAUGGUGCGGGGCUGAGGCUCCAGGCAGCUGCUGUCAGGUCACUGAGGGUGCUGGGUGACCAGGGGGCGGCCGGCCUGCCCGAUUUUACACUUCCGCUUACUGGCUGCGGUCGGGCACGGAUGCAGGUGAGCUGACUGGAUUAGACAGCGGCCACACACGCCCUAGGUUCCUCCUCCAGGCGGCCCACUCCUUUGGACUCCUUUGUCACGGCUCAGCCCUGCCCAGCCCAGGCUCGCAGGGCCCCUCCCGUGCUUCCCACCCAGAGCACGCCCCUGAGCUGACCCUUUCUGCAAAGUUCAGUGGUCUACUUGGGGGUGGGGGGGUGAUGUGACCCAGCCAGGGCCCGGGCUGGCCCUGUCUAGGGGUUACCUGUGUGCUGAGAGUCCCCCACCCCACCUUCCCUCGCCUGCUCCACAGUGUUUGGGCUCGGUGUUCAGCUGGCAACCGGGGCCAGGUCUCCAUGGGUGAGUGACCAGGGUCAGGGCUCCUAGGCGUCGACGUAAAAGACAUUGGAUCCUGUGCAGAAUUUUCAGUGAUUUUAUUUGAGCAAAACUGACCACAAUGGCCGGAAAGUAACAUCUAAAUGGACUGAGCAAUGCUGUGGAGAAUGGUGGCUUUGCACCUCAUUUUCUACAUUUUCUGUUCUUUUACCACCUUAUUUUCUACAUCACAGUUAAAGGAGGAGACAAGGGUUACACGAAACCCACUGGUGACAGACACAUUAAGGAGAAGGGAGAAAGCAAGGUGGGGGGGCCCUGAGAGUGAGUGAAAGGUGAGACACACAGUUCUUUGAUGUAGGUGGAUGAAGGGUAGUUAACAGUCAACCGUUAACAUGAUACGACUGGUGUGGCUCAGUGGGUUGGGCACUGGCCUAGAAAGCAAAAGGUCACCGGUUCAAUUCCCAGUCACAUGCCUGGGUUGCGGGCCAGGUGCCCUGUUGGGGGCAACCAACUGAGGUUUCUCUCCCUCUUUCUCUCUCCCUUCCCCUAUCUCCAAAUAUAAAUAAAUAAAACUUUAAAUAAGGAGCAGCAUAAUAACAGCGAGAGGAUCUGUGGCCUCAGCCCGGGUGCGGCGGCUGUGCCCGUCCCCAGGGUGUGUUGGGACGGGAGGCAGACAGGUCCUCGGAGGUCAAGAUCGAGGCAAAGUCUGCCCCUUGUUAGGGAACCACGCCGGCCAGGGCCGUGACUGCCCGCCGAGAGCUGCCUUCAGUUACUGCAUUUUAACUUCAGACCGUCCUGCGUGGUUACUUUUGGUGUCUGAGUGUGGGGGGCUGCCACACAGGCCCCCUGAGCUGCUCGGGUUGUGUGUGGCCCCUUUCUUUCACGCGUGA